rnacentral:rRNA from 1 species
GGGUUGUGAGGUUAAGCGACUAAGCGUACACGGUGGAUGCCCUGGCAGUCAGAGGCGAUGAAGGACGUGCUAAUCUGCGAUAAGCGCCGGUAAGGUGAUAUGAACCGUUAUAACCGGCGAUUUCCGAAUGGGGAAACCCAGUGUGACUCGUCACACUAUCAUUAACUGAAUCCAUAGGUUAAUGAGGCGAACCGGGGGAACUGAAACAUCUAAGUACCCCGAGGAAAAGAAAUCAACCGAGAUUCCCCCAGUAGCGGCGAGCGAACGGGGAGGAGCCCAGAGCCUGAAUCAGCAUGUGUGUUAGUGGAAGCGUCUGGAAAGGCGCGCGAUACAGGGUGACAGCCCCGUACACAAAAGCGCAUGUGCUGUGAGCUCGAUGAGUAGGGCGGGACACGUGGUAUCCUGUCUGAAUAUGGGGGGACCAUCCUCCAAGGCUAAAUACUCCUGACUGACCGAUAGUGAACCAGUACCGUGAGGGAAAGGCGAAAAGAACCCCGGCGAGGGGAGUGAAAAAGAACCUGAAACCGUGUACGUACAAGCAGUGGGAGCACAGGUUUACCUGUGUGACUGCGUACCUUUUGUAUAAUGGGUCAGCGACUUAUAUUCUGUAGCAAGGUUAACCGUAUAGGGGAGCCG